GUGCCAGCCGCCGCGGUAAUACAGAGGGUGCAAGCGAAAAUCGGAAUUACUGGGCGUAAAGCGCGGGUAGGUGGUUCAGUAAGAUGGAAGUGAAUUCGGCGGGCUCAACCUGGGAACUGCUUUCAUAACUGCUGGGCUAGAGUACGGUAGAGCCUAGUGGAAUCUCCUGUGUAGCGGUGAAAUGCGUAGAUAUAGAAAGGAACACCAGUGGCGAAGGCGACUACCUGGACUGGUACUGACACUGAGGUGCGUUAGCGUGGGGAGCAUUCAGGAGUAGAAGCCCCGUUAGUCC
rnacentral:rRNA from 1 species